GCACUCAAGCCAAUCAGGAGACAAAGCAUCAUGAAGCUUUUAGUAUUCGCGACGUAUGCUGCAAUUAUUGCAAGUACAGUGGCAAUACUAGAAAUUCCAGACGGUUAUCCAGAAGAUCCUGAAUGCCCUAUACGAUCCAGCAAUAGUGGAUGCAUGGUUUAUGGACAAAAGAUUCCACCGGGUGGAAGCAAGUCCUUUCAAAGUCCCUGCAUUAAUGUUGAAUGCAGCACAAACGGGAGGAGAGUUGUAAUUGAAGGGUGCUCGGAAAGCGAGAGAAUUUGCACAGUAAGCCCAUACGGAACACCACGAGCUUCACUACCGUGGCCUUUUUGUUGUGCACAAUGCCGCACACAAGAUAAACCCGUGC